rnacentral:rRNA from 1 species
UACGGAAGAUGCGAGCGUUAUCCGGAUUUAUUGGGUUUAAAGGGUGCGCAGGCGGCGCGUCAAGUCAGCGGUCAAAGUUCCGGGCUCAACCCGGUGAUGCCGUUGAAACUGGCGAGCUUGAGUUCGUGGGAGGAAGGCGGAAUGCGCGGUGUAGCGGUGAAAUGCAUAGAUAUCACGCAGAACCCCGAUUGCGAAGGCAGCCUUCCAUCACGCCACUGACGCUGAGGCACGAAAGCGUGGGUAUCGAACA